UACUCGAGUGGCGAACGGGUGAGUAACACGUGGGUGAUCUGCCUUGCACUCUGGGAUAAGCUUGGGAAACUGGGUCUAAUACCGGAUAGGAACCGUCUUUAGUGUGGUGGUUGGAAAGUUUUUUCGGUGCAAGAUGAGCUCGCGGCCUAUCAGCUUGUUGGUGGGGUAAUGGCCUACCAAGGCGUCGACGGGUAGCCGGCCUGAGAGGGCGUACGGCCACAUUGGGACUGAGAUACGGCCCAG
rnacentral:rRNA from 1 species